GCUAACCUCCACUUCAUCCACCCCACCCCUAUAUGGUGUGUGACAUCCUCGUCGAUCUCCCCGGUCCCCUGAAUAAUUGACCCAAGGUACUUGAAACUAUCCCUCUUAGGGAUGACUUGAGAAUCAAGCCUCACUUCCACUCCCGCUUCCGUCGGCUCGGCCCCAAAUUUGCACUCGGGGUAUUCCAUUUUCGUCUUGCUCAACCUGAAACCUUUUGACUCAAGGGCAUGUCUCCAAACCUCUAGCCUCUCGCUGACGCCGCGUCGUGUCUCGUCAAUUAGGACUAUGUCAUCAGUAAAUAACAUGCACCAUGGCACCUCCCCUUGAAUAUGAUGCGUUAUGACAUCCAUCACCAGGGCAAAUAGGAAAGGGCUGAACGCAUACCCUUGGUGCAACCCCAUAACAACCGGAAAAUGCUCGGAGUCGCCUCCUGUUGUCCUAACCCGAGUCUUAGCUCCAUCAUACAUGUCCUUAAUCACCCUAAUGUAGGCAACCGAGACCUCUUUAGCCUCUAAGCAUCUCCAUAAGACCUCCCUAAGAAUCCUGUCGUACGUUUUCUCUAGAUCGAUAAACACCAUGUGGAGAUCCUUCUUCUUAUCCCUGUAUUGUUCCACCAUCCUCCUAAUAAGGUGGAUAGCUUCUGUGGUAGAUCACCCCGGCAUGAACCCGAACUGGUUGUCUGAAAUAGACACCGUCCUUCGCACUCUCAUUUCUACCACUCUCUCCCAGACUUUCAUGGUAUGACUUAGUAAUUUGAUACCCCUAUAGUUGUUACAGCUCUGGAUAUCGCCUUUGUUCUUAUACAACGGAACCAUUGUGCUCCACCUCCACUCUUCAGGCAUCCUAUUAGUCUUGAAUAUAACAUUAAACAACCUAGUAAGCCAUUCCAAGCCUGCUAUACCCACACACCUCCAAAGUUCAACCGGAAUUUCAUCUGGCCCGGUAGCUCUGCCCCUCCUCAUCUUACGCAUUGCCUCCAUGACCUCAUCGACCUUAAUGUCCCUACAAUCACUUAAUUCAUGGGGGUUGUCGGUAUUCCUUAAUUCACCUAGUACAAUAUCCUGAUCCCCUUCCUCAUUUAGAAGUUUAUGAAAGUAGGUCUGUUAUCUCCUCUUAAUCUGGUCAUCCCCUAUCAAAACUUUGCCGUCAUCAUCUUUUAUGCACCUCACUUGGUCCAGAUCCCGAGCCGUCCUCUCUCUCACCUUAGCGAGUCGGAGUAACUUCUUCUCCCCGCCUUUGUUCCCUAAUUCCUCAUACAAACGAGCAAAAGCUGUCGUCUUAGCCUCCGUCACUGUCAUCUUCGCCUCCUUCCUAGCUACCUUAUAUCUCGCAAUUUUCUCUCUCUUCUCCUCCUCGCCAGUGCUCCCUACUAACCGCAGGUAAGCCACCUUCUUCGCUUUCACUUUACCUUGGACAACUGCAUUUCCACCACCAGUUUCCUUUGUGGCCACCGGUGCGGCCCGAAGAUAUCCCUAACACCUCUCUCGCCGCCUUCCUUAUAUAGUCCGCCGUCGUCGACCACAUAGUGUUUGCGUCCCCACUACUUCUCCAAGCUCCCAUUGCCGACAACCUUCCUUCCAACUCCUGAGCUUUAUCCUUAGUCAAUGCGCCCCACCUAAUCCUCGGGUGGCCUCGUACUGACCUCUGCUUCCUCCUUAUCAUAAUACUAAUGUCCAUCACCAAAAGCCUAUGUUGCGUUGCAAGGGUCCCACCUGGGAUAACUUUGCAAUCCUCACACAACCUUCUGUCGCAUCUCCUAAGGAGGAGAUAGUCAAUCUGAGUCUUCGCCACCGAACUUUGGUAAGUAACCAAAUGCUCCUCCCACUUCGGAAAACUUGAGUUCGCAAUCACUAGAUCGAAUGCCUUGGCAAAAUCCAGCAGCGAAGUGCCCCUCUGUUCCGUUCCCCGAAACCAAAGCCGCCAUGCACCUCAGUAUAACCACCUGCAGACGACCCAAUAUGACCAUUGAAAUCCCCUCCUAUGUAUAACCUCUCGGAAGGCGGAAUACUACGAACGAUGUCAUCCAACCC
rnacentral:lncRNA from 1 species